AAAGCCCCGCAAGGGGCAAGUAGAGUGGCAAACGGGUGAGUAACACGUGGGUGACCUGCCUUCGAGCGGGGGAUAACGUCCCGAAAGGGACGCUAAUACCGCAUAACAUCCUGCCUUUGAAGAGGUGGAGAUCAAAGCUGGGGAUCGCAAGACCCGGCACUUGAAGAGGGGCCCGCGUCUGAUUAGCUAGUUGGUGGGGUAAUGGCCUACCAAGGCAACGAUCAGUAUCCGGCCUGAGAGGGCGGACGGACACACUGGGACUGAGACACGGCCCAGACUCCUACGGGAGGCAGCAGUGGGGAAUUGUUCGCAAUGGGCGCAAGCCUGACGACGCAACGCCGCGUGGAGGAUGAAGAUUUUCGGAUCGUAAACUCCUGUCGAAUGGGACGAAAAGAUUGCGGGUUAACAGCCCGUAGUCCUGACGGUACCGUUAAAGGAAACCCCGGCUAACUCCGUGCCAGCAGCCGCGGUAAUACGGGGGGGGUAAGCGUUGUUCGGAAUUACUGGGCGUAAAGGGCUCGUAGGCGGCCAACUAAGUCAUACGUGAAAUCCCUCAGCUUAACUGGGGAACUGCGUGUGAUACUGGAUGGCUUGGAUUUGGGAGAGGGAUGCGGAAUUCCAGGUGUAGCGGUGAAAUGCGUAGAUAUCUGGAGGAACACCGGUGGCGAAGGCGGCAUCCUGGACCAAUAUUGACGCUGAGGAGCGAAAGCCAGGGGAGCAAACGGGAUUAGAUACCCCGGUAGUCCUGGCCCUAAACGAUGAAUGCUUGGUGUAGCGGGUAUCGAUCCCUGCUGUGCCGAAGCUAACGCAUUAAGCA
rnacentral:rRNA from 1 species